CUCGCAAGAUACCGCCGAUGACGGGUCGCGUUACGCACGUGCUAAUCGAAAGUCGGCUCCUUUAUUUCCUUCGUUGCAAUUUGUGACCGUGGCCGUCGAAUUCGGUUGCGCGUUCGUGCUGAUUAGAAAGAUUUCAGUAAAUCCAAGUUUUGUGAAAUGUUUUAAGUUCAUCUCCAACGUUAGUAAGAAGUAAAAAACGCGCGAUCGGCGCAAGUACUCGGUGGUGCGUCAAAACUGGAUGUACAACAAGGAACAAUGGUACUCGCUGCCUGCAGAAUAAACAUUUAGAGACAACACGCGAAGUACAAAAAAAAAACAAAUUUACCGUAAGCAAUACACAAUGUCGCAAAUGCGUUAGUGCGCGUUGGUGAUGCCCGAAUCGGUUCAGCGAAGGAUAUUUUUUCGAACAUCGUGCCCCUUACACUCCGGCGGUCGUGUACAGUUCUAGUACUUCGAUGAUCUUUAAUGGAUGGUGGCACGGUUAAAAGCCCGUGGCGCGGGAAGAGCUAUAAUAAUGGUAGUGAACAAGUCUGCGGGCGGUCGUCCGCGAUCGCUAAACACGACGUCUGCUACCGGUGGUACUGCGGCUGCGGCGGCGGUUAACGCGUCGUUUCUACCCAAGAGCCCUAGCUUUCAGAGCGGUCUAGACCUGCUGGCCGACCGAGACAAGUCUCCUUUCAUUAUGUACUGCGACCCGGCAAAACACUUGCCUAGACUUCACGAGGUCAAUGUGUCUGAACGGGAACAGUUGCUCAUCCAAAAAAUGCAACAGUGUUGUGUGUUGUUUGAUUUUAUUUCGGAUCCACAGUCUGAUCUGAAAUGGAAAGAAAUAAAACGAGAAACCCUACACGAAAUGGUUGAUUAUUUAUCGUCUAACCACGGUAAUGUGCUUACCGAGGCUAUUUAUCCUGAAGCUGUGAGAAUGUUUGCAGUAAAUUUAUUUCGUAGUCUACCUCCUUCGAGUAAUCCUAAUGGUGCAGAAUUUGAUCCAGAAGAGGAUGAACCUCUUUUAGAAGCUGCUUGGCCACAUCUUCAAUUAGUAUAUGAGUUUUUCCUAAGGUUUUUGGAAUCUCAGGACUUCCAACCAUCAAUAGCUAAAAAUUAUAUUGAUCAAAAAUUUGUUCUCCAGUUGUUGGAGCUUUUUGAUUCGGAAGAUCCACGAGAAAGAGACUUUCUAAAAACCAUAUUGCAUCGGAUUUAUGGUAAAUUUUUAAGUUUGCGUGCAUACAUACGGAAACAGAUUAACAACAUAUUCUAUAGUUUUAUUUAUGAAACUGAACAUCAUAAUGGCAUUGCUGAACUUUUAGAAAUUUUAGGAAGCAUUGUCAAUGGAUUUGCUCUACCAUUAAAAGAGGAACACAAGGUAUUCUUGUUAAAAGUCUUACUGCCCUUGCAUAAAGUGAAGUCGCUUUCGGUGUAUCAUCCUCAACUUGCAUACUGUAUAGUUCAGUUCCUUGAGAAAGACCCUGCACUUACGGAACCUGUUAUUAAAAGUCUAUUAAAAUAUUGGCCAAAAACACAUUCCCCAAAAGAAGUCAUGUUUCUCAAUGAGCUUGAAGAAAUCUUGGACAUUAUUGAACCAAUGGAGUUCAAAAAAGUACUGAAGCCGUUAAUUCACCAAAUAGCUAGAUGCGUUUCAAGUCAACAUUUUCAAGUUGCUGAAAGAGCUCUUUACUUUUGGAAUAAUGAAUACAUUAUGUCUCUAAUGUCUGAAAACGUAGAUGAAAUUUUGCCAAUUAUGUUUCCUGUACUGUACAAAAAUUCAAAAACUCACUGGAACAAAAACAUACAUGGUCUUAUGUACAAUGCAUUGAAAAUAUUCACAGAAACAAAUCCUGUACUCUUUCAUACGUGUACACAACAGUAUAAAGAAGACAGAAAAACGGAAAUGGAUAAAUUAAAAAAACGAGAUGAAAAAUGGCAUAAAGUUGAAGAGCUAGCAAAAAAAAAUCCCAGUUUCACCGGUUCAAUUGACAGUGAAUUUUCGUGUUAUGGUGAUUUGGCUAGAUCACCAAUCAAUGAUUUGGAUCCGACUAUUGACUUAAAGAGUUUAGAAGAGGACACCAAAUACCAUAUUGAUACAGAUAACCGAAAAAAUCGAAAAGAAAAGCCGUUGCUGAGACGCAAAUCCGAGCUACCACAUGAUACGUACACAGUGAGAGCAUUGAAUGACCACAAGAGAGCUGAUGAAUAUCUUGUGACGCCACCUGAUGUUAACAAGUGCUAGCCAAAUGUUUCAAUUUUGAUGACAUGAAUUAUUGGAUUCAUGUUAUUUCUAUACACAUAUAGCCCUACAGAUUAAGGAAUUACUAAAAAAAAACAAAUUUUAAUGGUUAUUCAUCUCAUUAGGGGUCAUAAUAUAUAAAUGUUAAGUUUAUCAUUGUUAGGAUUAACUUGUUAUUAGAAGUAUCAACCACCAUGUCCUUUCCAUACUUGAAUUAUAAAAUGAAGAAAGAUUAGCAAAGUCAACGCACCCAUAUGCCUCUUUGGUUGUGUUAUUUAUUUUUAAAAUAAAAAAAAAAAUUGUGUCAUUUAUAUUUUUAUUUAUUUUAUCACAAUAUAUGUUUAUUUAAUAUUAACUACCAUUCUUUGGAAAUAAGUUUUUUUAAUGUUUUACGACAGAUUACAUAAAAUUUAAGUGAGAUUUCAUUCAGUAAAAUCAAUUCAGGGAUUAUUUUUGUUUUGUUCAUCUUGUUGGUUUUAUAUUAUUAUUCUUUUUUACUUGAUAUUUUUUUAACACAGAUAUAAUAAAACAUAUUUUAUACAUAUACAAUAAUGUUAAAAAACACUCCAAUAAUUGCUACACUUUUAAGGUGAAUAGCUUUUAGAUAAAUAGGUAUGAAAUGUUUUAGUUAGUAUAUUAACUAUAUUAUUAUUACUUAUAGCUUAAAAAGAAAAUACCAGAUGAUUCCUUAAAAAAUAGGAAAAAUAUAUUAUUUAAAAUUGAGAACACAAUAUAUAUGAAGUACCAAAUUUUUAUUUAUGUAUACAUGUAUUUGAAUAAUAAUAUAUAUGUACAUAUUGAUAUACAUUUUUAUUCAAAUGAAAAUUUAAUUGACUAAUUUGUGUUUCAACUAAAGUUUUAAGUUUUUCUUUUAUUGUUUAUUUAAUUACAAAAUGUUGAUCAUUAUAUUUACUUGUAUACUCGUUUUAUGGGUAGACCCGUUAACAGGGAUGAAUUAUUGUUUAAACACUUAUAAAAAAUGUUAUAAUAUUUAUGUUGUACAGUUGAGUAUAGAUAUUUAUGUGAAACAAAAAUUAUGUUUAUUGAGGAAUUUAAAGUAUAAUUAUAUUAUAUAUUUAAAAAAAAAAUUAAGUUCGUCACAGGCAGUUAGGCCUUAUAUUAUGAUAUAUAUA